AGUAAGGCUACAUACAUUAACCCUGCCCAGAUCCCACAGAUGUGGGAUGCUUUGUGCACUGGGUUAUCCUUCUUUUUUUUUUUUUUACUCUAGACAAAGCCAGCCAAUUCUUCUUUAUGUCAUACAAUGCCACCAAAAGAACCUAUUUCUCAUAGCAUCUUUCCAAUUAAAAUAUCAUGUUCACGAUAAAAUGAUAUCUCAUGAUAUUUAACAUAUUACCAAAUACAGGCUUUUGCUAAUGGUUAAAAAUGUCUAUCUGUGCGCACACACAUGCAUGUGUGUUAUGGCAAGUUGAGUAACUUAUUAGGGCCUCUCUAGACCAUGAAUGCAACCAGGAAGACCUUAAAACAUAAGGUCAAAGCAUAGAUAAAUCACAUAGCAAAAUUUUUUCAUUAACUUAAUUAC
rnacentral:misc_RNA from 1 species